AAGAGACUGCAGGAAAGAACCAUAACCAAACAAGCACGCCUAUUUUAUGCAGCAGGAAUCAUCACAAACAUAUGAAAAAUAUAAAAAUUAAAUUUUUGUCUUAAAAUUUGUACUUGGUUAGGAACCAUAACCUCCUUCGUAUGUUUCCAUGUGGAUACUUAUUGUUGUGUAGGUAGAUGAAAAGAUGCAAACACUUGAAGAGGAGAUGAAAUUUUAAGCUACAGGGUUAUUAAAUUUCAUUUUUACAUUCCAUAGAUAUUUUAUUUACGUUAUUAUGAGGUAGGCGAUAUAUGGAUUGGCUAGCAUAUAAGUUACUUGAGUCAAUUUCGUACACUAUGAAAUAACAAUAGAAAAAUAUGGCUAAAGUCACUAAGUUUGGUUAUAUUAUAAUCCACUUUCUUUCACUAUUUUUCCUUGCAAUGAACGUUGCAGGAGGUCGUGAAUGUCAUGCGAACUCUCAUUGUGUAGGUAAAAUUACCUGUGUGCUUCCUCAGAAACCGGAAUGUUGGAAUUAUGCAUGUGUUUGUUAUGAUUCAAAUAAAUAUCGUUGAUGAUAAAGUGUUCCAUGUGUAGGAAUUACACAUGUGUUUGUCAUAAUUCAAAUAAUUAUGAAUGUUCUAUGACAUGUCAUUUAACUAAUGAGUUGGCAUUCAAUAAUUGAAUUUGUUUUGUAUUUAUUUCCCUUUAAUAAUUUCACAGAUUUUGUGGUCUUUGAUGAUGGUAAUUUAAAAAACAUUGUGCAGUAAAUAAUAUUAUUAAGAUUA